GUUAUAUUUAGGAGCAUUGAAGCUUUUCCUUAAUUUUGGACGCUUAGGGGAAGUGGAGCUAAUAGCGAAACCGACUAAAAGGU
rnacentral:ncRNA from 2 species